rnacentral:tRNA from 4 species
GGGCCCAUGGCGCAAUGGUAGCGCAGCUGACUUUUAAUCAGUUGGUUGUAGGUUCGAAUCCUACUGGGCUCA